UACAGGGGGUGCAAACGUUGCUCGGAAUUACUGGGCGUAAAGGGCUCGUAGGCGGCCAACUAAGUCAGACGUGAAAUCCCUCGGCUUAACCGGGGAACUGCGUCUGAUACUGGAUGGCUUGAAUCCGGGAGAGGGAUGCGGAAUUCCAGGUGUAGCGGUGAAAUGCGUAGAUAUCUGGAGGAACACCGGUGGCGAAGGCGGCAUCCUGGACCGGCAUUGACGCUGAGGAGCGAAAGCCAGGGGAGCAAACGGG
rnacentral:rRNA from 1 species